AUGGCCGGGUUCGCCUCCUCGCGGCCGGCCUCCCUCGCGCUCUGCGGCUUCCUCAUCUUCCUCAACGUCUUCGCCUUCCUCCUCGCCGUCGGCGCCGAGCAGCGACGCAGCACCGUACGCCCCCCCGACCGCCCCUCCUCCGUUCGCGCGCCGCACCGGCUGAUGGCCCCUUCUUUCUCGCAGGGUAAGGUGGUGCCGGACGAGUACGACGAGCGCUCCUACUGCCUCUACGACACCGACGCCUCCACCGUCUACGGCGUCUGCGCCUUCUUCGUGCUCCUCCUCGCGCAGCUGCUGGUCACCGGCGUCACCCGCUGCCUCUGCUUCGGCCCCGCGCUCUCCUCCCGCGGCUGCGCCGUCGCCGCCUUCGCCGUCUCCUGGCUGACGUUCCUCAUCGCGGAGGCCUGCCUCGUCGGAGGAUCCGCGAAGAAUGCGUACCACACCAAGUACCUUGGGUACUACACGAAGCACGACCUGGUCAGCUGUGCCGCGCUCCGCAAGGGGGUGUUUGCGGCAGCUGCCGCCAUGAUGCUCAUCAACCUCGCAGCCUCCCUGGUGUACUACUGGAGCUACUCGAAGGCGGCGGACGGCGGGUUCAUCAAGCACCAGAACGAGGCCGGCGUGGGCAUGACCGACUACGGCCUCGACAGGGGCGGUAGCCCUGGGCUCUGA
rnacentral:rRNA from 1 species